GAGCCAGAAAAUGCGCUGAAGAAGAGUGGAAAAAACUGGAAAAUAGAAUAAAAAAUCAUUUAAUAAUGCUAAAUAUGAGAGACAAAGAAGAGAGAACCUAAAUCAGAAUUUUUUUUAAUAAUGCUAAAUAUGAGAGACAAAAAAGAGAGAAGCUAAAUCAGAUUUUUUUUUUUUAAUAAUGCUAAAUAUGAGAGACAAAGAAGAGAGAAGCUAAAUCAGAAAUUGUGUGCUCUUCAUGAAGUUGUUCCUAAUGUUUCAAGAUGGAUAAAGCUUCAAUUUAGGGUAAUGAAUGUCUUACAUUACUAAAUUAAAAACAAAGAUUUAAGGAU
rnacentral:lncRNA from 1 species